GAUUUUAUGAAAUUAUAUUUUUGAUAAUAAAAUUAAAAAAAAAAAAAAAAAAAAGGUCUAUCCGAGGCGCGAUUAUUGCUAGUUGAAAACUUUACCCAAUACCCCGCCUGGACGACUUGAAAAAUAGUCGGCUAUGGCGAUUUUUGACAGUCUCUCAGGAGA
ensembl:snRNA U4 U4 spliceosomal RNA